GAGAUUUAUCCUGGCUCAGAUUAACGCUGGCGGCAUGCUUUACACAUGCAAGUCGAACGGUAACAGGGUGCUUGCACCGCUGACGAGUGGCGAACGGGUGAGUAAUGCGUCGGAACGUGCCGAGUAGUGGGGGAUAACGCAGCGAAAGCUGUGCUAAUACCGCAUACGAACUGAGGUUGAAAGUGGGGGACCUUCGGGCCUCACGCUAUUCGAUCGGCCGACGUCUGAUUAGCUAGUUGGUAGGGUAAAGGCCUACCAAGGCGACGAUCAGUAGCGGGUCUGAGAGGAUGAUCCGCCACACUGGGACUGAGACACGGCCCAGACUCCUACGGGAGGCAGCAGUGGGGAAUUUUGGACAAUGGGGGAAACCCUGAUCCAGCCAUGCCGCGUGUCUGAAGAAGGCCUUCGGGUUGUAAAGGAC
rnacentral:rRNA from 1 species